GUUGAAAUAGCUCAGUUGGGAGAGCGUUAGACUGAAGAUCUAAAGGUACCUGGUUUGAUCCCGGGUUUCGGCA
rnacentral:tRNA from 2 species